CGGGGUGUAGCGCAGUUGGUAGCGCACUACGUUCGGGACGUAGGGGUCGGCAGUUCGAGCCUGCUCACCCCGA
rnacentral:tRNA from 1 species